GAUCUAAGGCUAAAUAUAUCCACAGACCCGAUAGCAAACAAGUACCGUGAGGGAAAGUUGAAAAGCACUCUGGAGAGAGAGUCAAAAGACCGUGAAACCGCUCAGAGUAUAAGCCCAUGGCAGCUUGGAAGGCAUAUCGCUAGCGGGGCAUCGGUCUCCCUUCACGGGGAGAUCCGGUGUUACCUUGCUUCUGUUGUGGCUCGUCACGGUAGGGGGGUCAAGUCCACAUCCCGCCGACGUGUGGGGAGUUCUCGGGUGCGUUGGGUUGUUCGGUGUUGGUUUCGGCCGCGCCGCUUCAGCUCUUCGUGCUUGGUUCUCUUUCAACACGGACGUUCAGACUCAGUUGCAAGACGCGAUAAACAGCCCACCACGGCACGUUGUGAGGUCACCCACAGGCUCAGCUUUCGAUUGUGGUCCUUGACGCCGAGCAAGCACAAUGCGUGUCGCAGAUGUUCCUAACCGGGGUGCUCCCCGGACGGUGGAACGACACGCGCUCAUGACAGUCAGGACCGGGCGAUGACAGAGUUCUGGUAUGAUCCUCUUGCGACGAGCCGGCUUCUGGCCAAUUUCCGAUGUUCAGGUCUCUCGCAUGUGCCGCGGGAGAUCCUUUCGACGACGGUCUGGAGUUGUACUCCUCUGAGUCGAGCAUCGGAAAGAGUGGUGUAAAGUCCAAGCCCAUCGGUCACGUCUCGAAACACGGGCCAAGGA
rnacentral:rRNA from 1 species